GGGAGAAAAACAGGUAUCCCUGGAGGGUUUCAGCCUCUCCUGGGGCCUCCCCUUUGUAGGAAGGAGCUCUGCAUUAGGAAUUUCCUCCCAUGGACCCUGCUACCAUUGAGUCUGUCACCUUGAGCUCCCCUUGGUUCGUCCUUCAUGGUUUUGUUCUUUGCCUUCAGUGUCACAGCAAUAGAUACUAAAAUGCUUUCCGGGUUUUCUUUCUUGGCACCAGGACCCCAGGCCUGGUCUUUACUGAUGGAGCGUUAAAUCAGAAGAUUUUGUAGGACGCAGGAAGUCGUCUGAGGAUGAGGGCUUUGGCGUCAUCCUGUUGGUUCUGCAGAAAAGAGAACCAGUAAGGUGUCUGUCCACAGAGGAGGAGGUUGACUGGAUAAAACUGGCUCACACUGUUACCGAGGCUGAGGAGUCCCAGUCCCUGCCUCCAGCUGUCUCAGUAGCUGAGGACAGCCUUGGACAUCCAAUCCUUUUGCUUCCACCUUCCAGGUACUGGGAUUACAGGCAUGUACAACUACACCCAGGUUAGACGGUUUAAUGUAUUUGGGCAUUGUCAAACAACCAAUGUCUGGGAUUAAGGGUGGAUUCAGUGGACCUUUGCCACUCUGAGUGAGUCCAUAAGUGACACUGGAGGAGAGCAAUGUCAGGUCUGGAAACAAACAAACAAACAAACAAAAGCUUCUUUAAGAGUCUCAAAGAAUAUACAAACUGGCCUAGAAGUCACUGGGUACACCAGGCUGACCUUAAACUCACAGAGAGCCAUG
rnacentral:lncRNA from 1 species